UGGGGAAUAUUGGACAAUGGGCGAAAGCCUGAUCCAGCCAUGCCGCGUGUGUGAAGAAGGCCUUUUGGUUGUAAAGCACUUUAAGUGGGGAGGAAAAGCUUAUGGUUAAUACCCAUAAGCCCUGACGUUACCCACAGAAUAAGCACCGGCUAACUCUGUGCCAGCAGCCGCGGUAAUACAGAGGGUGCAAGCGUUAAUUGGAAUUACUGGGCGUAAAGCGCGCGUAGGUGGUUAUUUAAGUCAGAUGUGAAAGCCCCGGGCUUAACCUGGGAACUGCAUCUGAUACUGGAUAACUAGAGUAGGUGAGAGGGGAGUAGAAUUCCAGGUGUAGCGGUGAAAUGCGUAGAGAUCUGGAGGAAUACCGAUGGCGAAGGCAGCUCCCUGGCAUCAUACUGACACUGAGGUGCGAAAGCGUGGGUAGCAAACAGGAUUAGAUACCCUGGUAGUCCACGCCGUAAACGAUGUCUACCAGUCGUUGGGUCUUUUAAAGACUUAGUGACGCAGUUAACGCAAUAAGUAGACCGCCUGGGGAGUACGGCCGCAAGGUUA
rnacentral:rRNA from 1 species